rnacentral:rRNA from 1 species
AGUGAACGCUGGCGGUAGGCCUAACACAUGCAAGUCGAACGGCAGCACAGUAAGAGCUUGCUCUUACGGGUGGCGAGUGGCGGACGGGUGAGGAAUACAUCGGAAUCUACUUUUUCGUGGGGGAUAACGUAGGGAAACUUACGCUAAUACCGCAUACGACCUACGGGUGAAAGCAGGGGAUCUUCGGACCUUGCGCGAUUGAAUGAGCCGAUGUCGGAUUAGCUAGUUGGCGGGGUAAAGGCCCACCAAGGCGACGAUCCGUAGCUGGUCUGAGAGGAUGAUACGCCACACGGGACUUGAACCACGGCCCGGACCCCGACGGGAGCCCGCAGUGGGGAUUUUUGAACAAUGGGCGCAAGCUUGACCGACCCUUCCCGGGUGGGUGAAAAAGCCCUUCGGGUUCUAAAGCCUUUUUUUGGGAAAAAAAAACAAGCGGUUAAAUCCCCCGUUUUUCUGAGGUUACCAAAAAAAAAAGCCCCGGCCAACUUCGUC